rnacentral:rRNA from 1 species
UACGUAGGGUGCGAGCGUUGUCCGGAAUUAUUGGGCGUAAAGAGCUCGUAGGCGGUUUGUCGCGUCGACUGUGAAGACCCGAGGCUUAACCUCGGGCCUGCAGUCGAUACGGGCAGACUAGAGUUCGGUAGGGGAGACUGGAAUUCCUGGUGUAGCGGUGAAAUGCGCAGAUAUCAGGAGGAACACCGGUGGCGAAGGCGGUUCUCUGGGCCUUACCUGACGCUGAGGAGCGAAAGCGUGGGGAGCGAACAGG